rnacentral:lncRNA from 1 species
AUCCUAAACUAUGAAAUUUGGGCAUAUCAUAAUGGCUUGAGUAGAAAAAUACUUGAAACUACAGUCAGACAAAAAGAAUAGCAUUGAAUAGCAGGUAAUCCCAAGAUAAGUUACUUUUUUCUUACUUUCAGGACUUGUCUUCGAGGCAAAAUGAGUGAGUGGUUGCAAGGAGUAUAGCGCCAAUGCCCGAACCAUCAUUGGAGUGCUCGACCACAAUGCUUGAUGUAGUCUCUUCUCUGACUAGCUCACACAAUGUAUUAUCCAAGCACCUUCUAAUUUAUAUACUCCUAGUAGUGUUCACACAAUCCACCGUCCACGACUAUGACUGUUUUCUCUGGCUCCUUCAUAGAAUCUAGGGAUGGCAAAAAAACUUGCCCCAUCCCGUCCCGACGGGGCCCUACCCCCAAUGGGGACCCGAGCCUAUGAAAAAAAAUAAAAAUAAUUUUAUUUCUAGACAAUUCAUCCGUUAAAAAUUCAUUUUGAAUCUGUAUGUUAUUCUCUAAUAAUAACAUAGUUCGAAACUUUGAAAACGUAAAAAAAAAUUAAAAAAUUAAAC